rfam:Triticum urartu cultivar G1812 contig331681, whole genome shotgun sequence.
AUACCUUUCUCGGCCUUCGGCUAAGAUCAAGUGCAGUAUCUGUUCUUAUCAGUUUAAUAUCUGAUACGUGGAUCUUUGAAUCCACACAUGAUAUUAAUUUAUUUAUUUAUGGGGAGAACCUAUUUGUGUAGCUUGCCACAUGGAUGGUUAUUAUGUGUUGGAACAGGCACACUCCGACCAAAAUAAAAUAAAA